UUGCUUCUUUGAGACCGGCGCACGGGUGCGUAACGCGUAUGCAACCUACCUUCAUCUGGGGGAUAGCCCGGAGAAAUCCGGAUUAAUACCGCAUAAAAUCACAGGAUGGCAUUAUCCAAUGAUCAAACAUUUAUGGGAUGGAGAUGGGCAUGCGUGUCAUUAGCUAGUUGGCGGGGUAACGGCCCACCAAGGCGACGAUGACUAGGGGAUCUGAGAGGAUGGCCCCCCACACUGGUACUGAGACACGGACCAGACUCCUACGGGAGGCAGCAGUAAGGAAUAUUGGUCAAUGGAGGCAACUCUGAACCAGCCAUGCCGCGUGCAGGAAGACUGCCCUAUGGGUUGUAAACUGCUUUUAUUCGGGAAUAAACCUAUUUACGUGUAAAUAGCUGAAUGUACCGAAGGAAUAAGGAUCGGCUAACUCCGUGCCAGCAGCCGCGGUAAUACGGAGGAUCCAAGCGUUAUCCGGAUUUAUUGGGUUUAAAGGGUGCGUAGGCGGCCUGUUAAGUCAGGGGUGAAAGACGGUAGCUCAACUAUCGCAGUGCCCUUGAUACUGAUGGGCUUGAAUGGACUAGAGGUAGGCGGAAUGAGACAAGUAGCGGUGAAAUGCAUAGAUAUGUCUCAGAACACCGAUUGCGAAGGCAGCUUACUAUGGUCUUAUUGACGCUGAGGCACGAAAGCGUGGGGAUCAAACAGGAUUAGAUACCCUGGUAGUCCACGCCCUAAACGAUGAACACUCGCUGUUGGCGAUACACAGUCAGCGGCUAAGCGAAAGCGUUAAGUGUUCCACCUGGGGAGUACGCUCGC
rnacentral:rRNA from 1 species